UACGAAGGGGGCUAGCGUUGCUCGGAAUCACUGGGCGUAAAGCGCACGUAGGCGGCUUUUUAAGUCAGAGGUGAAUCCUGGAGCUCAACUCCAGAACUGCCUUUGAUACUGGAGAGCUGAGUCCGGGAGAGGUGAGUGGAACUGCGAGUGUAGAGGUGAAAUUCGUAGAUAUUCGCAAGAACACCAGUGGCGAAGGCGGCUCACUGGCCCGGUACUGACGCUGAGGUGCGAAAGCCGUGGGGAGCAAACAGG
rnacentral:rRNA from 1 species